CAAGUCAUGGGGGCCCGCAAGGGCAACCGGCGAACGGGUGCGUAACACGUGAGCAAUCUGCCGAUUUCUGGGGGAUAGCCGGCCCAACGGCCGGGUAAUACCGCAUACGUUCUUGAAGGGGAGUCCCUUUAAGAAGAAACCUCCGGGGGAAAUCGAGGAGCUCGCGGCCUAUCAGCUAGUUGGCGGUGUAAUGGACCACCAAGGCGAUGACGGGUAGCUGGUCUGAGAGGAUGGCCAGCCACAUUGGGACUGAGAGACGGCCCAGACUCCUACGGGAGGCAGCAGUGGGGAAUCUUGCGCAAUGGCCGAAAGGCUGACGCAGCGACGCCGCGUGUGGGAUGAAGCUCUUCGGGGUGUAAACCACUGUUGCCCGGGACGAACAUCCUCUUUCGAGAGGACUGACGGUACCGGGUGAGGAAGCACCGGCUAACUCCGUGCCAGCAGCCGCGGUAAUACGGAGGGUGCGAGCGUUGUCCGGAAUCACUGGGCGUAAAGGGCGCGUAGGUGGCCUGUGGAAGUCUGCGGUGAAAGCCCGGCGCUCAACGCCGGGUCUGCCGUGGAUACUCUCGGGCUCGAGCUUACUAGAGGCAGACGGAAUUCCGGGUGUAGCGGUGGAAUGCGUAGAGAUCCGGAAGAACACCGGUGGCGAAGGCGGUCUGCUGGGGUAAUGCUGACACUGAUGCGCGACAGCGUGGGGAGCAAACAGGAUUAGAUACCCUGGUAGUCCACGCCGUAAACGAUGGGCACUAGAUGCUUGGGGGAGCGACCCCCUGAGUGUCGUCGCUAACGCAUUAAGUGCCCCGCCUGGGGAGUACGGCCGCAAGGCUGAAACUCAAAGGAAUUGACGGGGGCCCGCACAAGCGGUGGA
rnacentral:rRNA from 1 species